GUCUUAAUUGAUUGCACUUGCGAUUUUUAGUUUAAUCUGUCGUCGUAAUAAUACCACGAACGAUAUUUUUUAUACUUCAGCUUUUGCCAUAGAAAGUUAGUAAUAGUCAAUACGACCUUUCAGCUAAAUCGUGAUUCUGUUGGAUUGAUCGUAUUUUAUCGUAUAUCAUUAUAUUAAUUACAAAAAGAAUAGGUUCAAGAACUAUACCACCCUCCUCGUACAAUUAGUUAAAGACAGAUGCAAUAGUUGUUAAAUAUAUACGAACAAUGUAUAUGAAUCACUGAUGGUAAAACCAUUGAAAAGCUUCAUAAAUGUAUCUGGUAUAUGAGCAUAUAUGGUAAAGGAGAAAAAAAAAUGAUACGAUGUCAUCAACAUUGCCAUAUCUGCAUAAUGGACAAUCAACAAUAAUUCAUAUAAGAAUAUUAAGUCACAUACAUGUAACGUGAGUGAUUCUGUUGGAAUUAUGCCGCCAUUUGAUGACGUAGAAUAGCAGCUGGCGCAGUUUUUACGCAGUGGUGACAAUUGGGGACUUUUAAUGUCGGACAAGCAGAUGACCCCGUCAUUAUCUGAUGCAGACGAUUCAUUUUAAUGACCUCGGUCACUAUAUAUAUAUUAAGUUUAUUGUACACCAUUUAAUACUUUACAGAGCUGCUUGUUCCAGAUUGGCAAAGUUAAUUUCCACUUCGGUUCUGAUUUUUCUAUAGCUAUUCCCGGCGUAUAAAUAAAGAGAAUGAAGCCCACCAUCUUUGGUAUCCUGGUCACGGCACUAAUUUCCAGCGUCAUUUCAAAAAGCGUCGAAACUCGCGAGUCAAUGACGUCACUAGAAAAGGAAUGCUGGGAGCAUUGUAGCACAGAAUACACCAACUGCAAGCUGUUCUACGGAUGUCGUAAGCUGCCAUCGGGGGAAUUCAACAAAGAUUGUCCGUUUGAUUGCGUUAAAUGGUCGGAAACCUGUUUGAAACGGUGUUUGUAAAACUAAUUAGAUUCUGUAAAAGCAAUAAUAUUGCAAACAUUCAACCAGAAAACAUAACUUGACAGUGCUUCUCUUAAAUGAACAUAUAAACUACCAAAUACUAGCAUUUUUAUGUAUCUUUCUUUUAUUCUGACGACUGCUAAUGAAACAGAUUGUAUUUAAUUAGUUUCAUAGUAACUGUUAUGAUUCCAGGCGCCUAACGUUAAUAAUAGUUCUUUUUACGAUAAGAUUAUUUUCUGUACUAAAAUAAAAAUUUACUUUAAGAAUUAUUAUAGUACAGUAAACGAUAUUAAAAAAAACAAACAAACAUGUUUUAGCGACAGGGAAUUGUAUUAUACUACAUGGAAUAACCUAAUCAUAAAAAUAAAUAGAUUCAACGCCAGGCGCCUGUGGAUAUGAUGUAUAUUUUUACUGAAUAUUUUGCUUUCGCCAGACUGCGGACGCACGCACAAUAAACGUAUUCUUAUCAA